rnacentral:rRNA from 1 species
AUUGAACGCUGGCGGCAUGCCUUACACAUGCAAGUCGAACGGCAGCACGGGUGCUUGCACCUGGUGGCGAGUGGCGAACGGGUGAGUAAUACAUCGGAACAUGUCCUGUAGUGGGGGAUAGCCCGGCGAAAGCCGGAUUAAUACCGCAUACGAUCUACGGAUGAAAGCGGGGGACCUUCGGGCCUCGCGCUAUAGGGUUGGCCGAUGGCUGAUUAGCUAGUUGGUGGGGUAAAGGCCUACCAAGGCGACGAUCAGUAGAUGGUCUGAGAGGACGACCAGCCACACUGGGACUGAGACACGGCCCAGACUCCUACGGGAGGCAGCAGUGGGGAAUUUUGGACAAUGGGCGAAAGCCUGAUCCAGCAAUGCCGCGUGUGUGAAGAAGGCCUUCGGGUUGUAAAGCACUUUUGUCCGGAAAGAAAUCCUUGGCUCUAAUACAGUCGGGGGAUGACGGUACCGGAAGAAUAAGUACCGGCUAACUACGUG